ACUGAAAACAUUCCUGUGGUAAGAAGACCUGAUAGGAAAGAUUUGCUUGCAUACCUAAAUGGGGAAACAUCAACCUCAUCAAGCAUAGACAGAAGUGCUCCACUUGAAAUUGGUCUUCAACGAUCCACUCAAGUUAAAAGAGCAGCAGAUGAAAUAUUAGCAGAAGCAAAGAAACCAAGAAUAGAGGUAAUGACAGUGACUGUCAUCAAUACAAAUUGAAGG